AUCUGGGCGGCGGAAUUCAGGAUGGCUGGGCGGGUUUCGCGCUCGUUCGGCCGUUUGAUAUUUCCGUCGCCGUUGCAGACGUCGCGACCUGUUCGUCGUCGGUCCUUGCUCGGAGGAAUCGCGAUCGAGUUCGUUGCGGGGCGCGUUUCGGCGUGUCUCGCGAUGAAGGCGCGGGUCUCUGGCUGACGACGGACAGUAAGCAACGGUGGCCGGCGUGGUGUCUCGCACUCCACGUCCGGUGCCGGUCAGCGACGAUUUCUUCGGGCCUCUUUCCGACCCGUCUUGAAACACGGACCAAGGAGUCUAACAUGCGCGCGAGUCGCGGGGUUUCGAGCGUGCCACGGUGCGCUCGUUACUUCCGAAACCCGUACGUUGAAGGCGUAAUGAAAGUGAACAGGGAAGAUGGCGUUCCGAGUCCACGAACCGUGAUCGAGUAUCGCGGCCGGACGCCCGCACUCCCGGGGCGUCUCAAUGGCUCGUCGCGGAUGCGGACGGUCGUUCUUCGGGGCGGCCGUCGGUCUGCGACGGACCGA
rnacentral:rRNA from 1 species